UGUAGAGCGAAUCCCCCACCGCCUGCCAUCGACAUAGCUUCCACCCGUGAGUUUCGUAAGGAUCUUGUGUAAGGCUGUUGUUACAUAGUCUUCAAUGGCUAUUACAUAUAUAUGUAGUAGCUAUCUACAGUGUUUCCAGAAGUCCGGAAAAUUGUCAGUCGCUCACGUCGCAUGUGAAGAUGUAUCCGAAAAGAAAAAGUGCAAUGGAUAGUCAAAUUAUUUCGGCAGAAAUUGCUUUAGGUCUUGUUCUGUGUACAGCAUAUCGGAUAAUUUCGAAGAACAUUUUCAGUCAACAGGAGGAGAGUCAACCUGUUGACAGUGAACAGUUUGAGCUAACAAGGUCACUAGUGUGUGUAUGGCUUGCAAGCAACAUAAAGUUCCUACUCAUUAAAUGCAACAGCAAUCCAGUUUCACUGUCUGCACAUUCAACAUCCAGGCUGAUUGCAUUUCUGGCACUUCUACUGGAUAGCUGCUACGGAAUUAAUUAUCAGAGACUAUAUACUAACGAACGGCCUACAGUGGACAUGGCCAUGUGUUCUUUCUUCAUAGUGAGCAGUGUUGUCCUCUUCUUUUUGGACCACAGCCAGCUGCAGAGCAGAGUGGACUUGCGCAUGAUCUUCAGUGACUCUCAGAAGUUCUUCCUUCAGAUGGACUUUUUUGCCACCUUUGUCUUUGGCCUCCUCUGGCUGGCCUUCCCCGAUUGGCUCCUAGGAUUCCAGCCCAUUACAGGUUCUGAGGACACCUUCCAUCUUCACCUCAGUAGAGCCUUUGGCGCCAUGAUGGUGGGUGACAGUUUUGUCUCUUUUACAACACAGAAUUUCCAACCCAACAAAGAAAAGCCAUCCGUGUUCAUAAGCCGAGCAGUGGACCUGAGCCCUAGGACCAUGCCCCAGGACUACCUGACAUGAUGACUCCUUGCUGUCCCCAGUCCAUCUGACCGUGCUGCUGCUCCAGUUUCAACUGCUCUCUCUAAUU
ensembl:lncRNA